AGUCAGCCCUACUGAAUUAGCCCUUCCCUGCUAUGUCUGUGUAGGGUUUGGGACUUAAAAGGAGGAAAAGGCAUCAGAAAUGGAAGUCCCUGGGCAAAGCUACCAGUGGAGGGGGAGAGAAGGCAGCUAGGAUUGAUUGACUGAAUUAUUGGAUGUGAGGAAAAGAAGAUAAAGGGCCAGCUCCAGGGGUUUUGCUGCCGCAAGCAGCCCAAAAAAAAGCCGCGAUUGCGAUCUGCUCCAAGCGGGAGCGAGGAACCCUCUGCCGAAUUGCUGCUGAAUACCUAAAAGUGCCGCCCCGCUCCCGAGUUGCCACCCCAAGCACCUGCUUGAUAAGCUGGUGCCUGGAGCCAGCCCUGUUCCCAAACCCUGUGACUCUCCUGUGGAGACAAAGCUUCAUAUCUUUGAUGCUCUUAGAGCUAUAUCCUUUUGCCCUUCUAGAACAAAGCCAUUUCAAAAUCAGUUGCUUGUUGUUGGUAAUAAAUCCAAGGGAUGGGGUGUUUCCUCCCAGAGGCUCUUGAAGUGGGUUUCGGGUUGUAUUAAGGUCUCUUAUAUAUUGAAGAAACUAACUCUCCCCUCCAAGUUAUGGCAAACACCUGUACUUUGUUUUAGGGGUGCCCCUAUUCCUGAGAUUUGAACUUCUGUUCAUACACUUACCAAUCCUUACUGCAUCACAGCUUCCAGAUGAAAUGCCCAUUUCGGCACA